rnacentral:rRNA from 1 species
AUUGAUUUUAUGCUUGCAUAAAUGAUUUUUGGAUUCGGAGCGAGUGGCGAACUGGUGAGUAACACGUGGGUAACCUGCCCCGAAGCGGGGGAUAACAUUUGGAAACAAGUGCUAAUACCGCAUAAUUAGUUGGAACCGCAUGGUUCCAACUUGAAAGAUGGCUCUGCUAUCACUUUGGGAUGGACCCGCGCCGUAUUAGUUAGUUGGUGAGAUAAAAGCCCACCAAGACGAUGAUACGUAGCCGACCUGAGAGGGUAAUCGGCCACAUUGGGACUGAGACACGGCCCAGACUCCUACGGGAGGCAGCAGUAGGGAAUCUUCCACAAUGGACGAAAGUCUGAUGGAGCAACGCCGCGUGAGUGAUGAAGGUUUUCGGAUCGUAAAACUCUGCUGUUAAAGAAGAACAAGUGUUAGAGUAACUGUUAACACCUUGACGGUAUUUAACCAGAAAGCCACGGCUAACUACGUGCCAGCAGCCGCGGUAAUACGUAGGUGGCAAGCGUUGUCCGGAUUUAUUGGGCGUAAAGCGAGCGCAGGCGGUUUUGUAAGUCUGCUGUGAAAGCCCUCAGCUCAACUGAGGAAGUGCAGUGGAAACUACAAAACUUGAGUACAGAAGAGGAAAGUGGAACUCCAUGUGUAGCGGUGAAAUGCGUAGAUAUAUGGAAGAACACCAGUGGCGAAGGCGGCUUUCUGGUCUGUUACUGACGCUGAGGCUCGAAAGCAUGGGUAGCGAACAGGAUUAGAUACCCUGGUAGUCCAUGCCGUAAACGAUGAAUACUAGGUGUUGGAGGGUUUCCGCCCUUCAGUGCCGCAGCUAACGCAUUAAGUAUUCCGCCUGGGGAGUACGACCGCAAGGUUGAAACUCAAAGGAAUUGACGGGGGCCCGCACAAGUGGUGGAGCAUGUGGUUUAAUUCGAUGCUACGCGAAGAACCUUACCAGCUCUUGACAUCUUCUGCCAACCCAAGAGAUUGGGCGUUCCCUUCGGGGACAGAAUGACAGGUGGUGCAUGGUUGUCGUCAGCUCGUGUCGUGAGAUGUUGGGUUAAGUCCCGCAACGAGCGCAACCCUUAUUAUUAGUUGCCAGCAUUUAGUUGGGCACUCUAGUGAGACUGCCGGUGAUAAA